GCACUUACCUGGCAGGGGAGACACCAUGACCACGAAGGUGGUUUUCCCAAGGUGAGGCUCAUCCAUUGCACCCAGAUGUGCUGACGCCUGAGAUUUCCCCAAAUGCAGGAAACCCCACUGCGCAAUUUGUGGUAGUGGGAUCUGUAUUCGCUCUUUCCCUG
ensembl:snRNA U1 U1 spliceosomal RNA